rnacentral:rRNA from 1 species
AGUGAACGCUGGCGGUAGGCCUAACACAUGCAAGUCGAACGGCAGCACAGUAAGAGCUUGCUCUUACGGGUGGCGAGUGGCGGACGGGUGAGGAAUACAUCGGAAUAUACUUUUUCGUGAGGGAUAACGUAGGGAAACUUACGCUAAUACCGCAUACGACCUACGGGUGAAAGCAGGGGAUCUUCGGACCUUGAGCGAUUGAAUGAGCCGAUGUCGGAUUAGCUAGUUGGCGGGGUAAAGGCCCACCAAGGCGACGAUCCGUAGCUGGUCUGAGAGGAUGAUCGGCCACACUAGAUCUGAGACACGUUCCAGACUCCUACGGGAGGCAGCAGUGGGGAAUAUUGGACAAUGGGCGCAAGCCUGAUCCAGCCAUACCGCGUGGGUGAAGAAGGCCUUCGGGUUGUAAAGCCCUUUUGUUGGGAAAGAAAAGCAGCAGGUUAAUACCCCGCUGUUCUGACGGUACCCAAAGAAUAAGCACCGGCUAACUUCGUG